UACGUAGGGUGCGAGCGUUGUCCGGAAUUACUGGGCGUAAAGAGCUCGUAGGUGGUUUGUCGCGUUGUUCGUGAAAACUCACAGCUUAACUGUGGGCGUGCGGGCGAUACGGGCAGACUGGAGUACUGCAGGGGAGACUGGAAUUCCUGGUGUAGCGGUGGAAUGCGCAGAUAUCAGGAGGAACACCGGUGGCGAAGGCGGGUCUCUGGGCAGUAACUGACACUGAGGCACGAAGGCCAGGGGAGCAAACAGG
rnacentral:rRNA from 1 species